GACGAACGCUGGCGGCGUGCUUAACACAUGCAAGUCGAACGGUAAGGCUCCAGCUUGCUGGGGUACACGAGUGGCGAACGGGUGAGUAACACGUGGGUGACCUGCCCUGCACUUCGGGAUAAGCCUGGGAAACUGGGUCUAAUACCGGAUAGGACUGCACCGUGAGGGGGUGGUGGAAAGUUUUUUCGGUGUGGGCUGGGCCCGCGGCCUAUCAGCUUGUUGGUGGGGUAAUGGCCUACCAAGGCGGCGACGGGUAGCCGGCCUGAGAGGGUGGACGGCCACAUUGGGCCUGAGACACGGCCCAGACUCCUACGGGAGGCAGCAGUGGGGAAUAUUGCACAAUGGGCGGAAGCCUGAUGCAGCGACGCCGCGUGGGGGAUGACGGCCUUCGGGUUGUAAACUCCUUUCACCAUCGACGAAGGGUUUCUGACGGUAGAUGGAGAAGAAGCACCGGCUAACUACGUG
rnacentral:rRNA from 1 species